AAUUAUGAGAAUAAUGAUAAUUAAUUGGAUAAUUAUGCGGCUACGAAUUGUAAGAAAAUACUAAUCUAUUACUAUAUAUAAAAGUAGAACCCUUAAUGAACCCUAUGUGAGAAGCUGACACGUGGCUUUCUAUAUGCUUGCCACGUGUCAAACUCAAAUGAGUGAAUUUCAUCGCUUUCUAUAUGCUUGCCACGUGUCAAACUCAAAUGAGUGAAUUUCAUCGCCCGGAGAUGGUGAAUAGUUUAGAGUUAGUUCUUUCUUAUCAAAAUGUAAGAUAUGAAGGAAAAGUUUAUGUGAUCAACCUGUUGGGCAGAGCAGCGGCUCCUACAGGACCACUAAUCAUCCUUACAAAAUCAAUUUUCAAUAUUCUACGGUUGUACGUGAGAUAGAAAAUAUUUUGACCGUGUCAAAGUAUGGAUUUAUAUUUACCCCUUUUGAUGAAUACUUGGUAAUAUCGCUGAUGACAAAUAUUUAGUAGAUAAGAGUUAUUACAUGUAUCAAAUAUUUAAUUUUUAAAAUUUAAUUUUUAAUAUGUGUAUCUAUUAUAUUGAUUCUUACAUUUUAUUAUUAUAUUAUCUCAGAUGUCAUUGGGAAGCUUUAUGGAAUUAGUAGAAUGGAAGAAACAGUAAAGAAACAAAAAAGAUUACGAUACUACUUGAGGACGACAAGUAUGUGUUUAUAAUUAUAGAUAUAUCUUUUGAAUGUUUAUAUAUUUUUUUUUAGUUAGCUGCUGAUCUAUACUACUUAUAAAAACGUUAGUUUUGAAUUUUUUCCUCUUUCCCAAAAUACCGGUCCCUAUUAAUAUAAUAUCUUCCGCAUAUAUAAUAUUUAAUCAUAUUUUCUUAAAACAAAAUAUAUAAAAGUUAUCCGUGCUUUUAUCUACUAAUAUUUAAAAUAUUGGAUAUUUUAUUUAAAACAUUAUAAAAUAUAUUAACAUAUAUAAUAUUUAAUCAUAUUUUUUUAAAGAAGAAUAUAUAAAAGUUAUCUCAAAUUUAAAAUAUUGGAUAUUUUAUUUAAAUUAUUAUAAAAUAUAUUAAUUCUUAGUCAAUAAAUCUAAUUGACUGACGAAUACAAAAUAUCUGUCACUUUUUUUUUAUCUAAAUUACCCUUAAAUAGUACGUAUCAAAUUUCUUUAUAUAUUUGCCACGUGUCAAGCUCAAAUAUAGAUUUAUUAUUUUCUUAAAAAAUUAGAUUUUUUAAGAAAAUAAUAUCUUUAAUAUAUAGAAAAUCUAUAGAUUUUCUAUUUUAGGGAAUAUUUCAAAGUCACCUAUAAUUAUGUUGUGCGGAUAUUACUACUUAGAGAAUAUGACUACUUUAGGAAAAAUAAAAUUAAAUUUUUUAAGGAAAUAAUAAUUUUUACAAUAUUAUUAAAAAUCACCUAUAAUGAAUGAAGGUGAUUUUAUUUCAAAGUCACCUAUAAUUAUGUUGAGAUAUUUGAGAAAUUCACGCGAAAGAAUUGGCGGGUGCGGAUAUUACUGCUUUAGGAAAAAUAAU
rnacentral:lncRNA from 1 species